AACUACUGAAUAAACUAUUCUACCUCCAGUAGUCCGUCGAAAGUGGAGAUCAGACAUUCUUAGCAUGCCUUAAGACAAAUAUGAAAUAAUCUAGUGUGACAAUGCUGGAACCCGCAUAAUCUAGAAUGGUGGACAAGUCUCUAAGAAUAUCCAUAUCUGUGACAGCAAUGCAAAUGGGUCAUACAGAAAUGACAUUGAGAAUUCUCCUGGAAGUUUUCUAUCUGAGCUAAGACCAUGGUAUUUCAACUUAUAAGCUCAUUGUAUGUAAAACACCAAAUGAUGGAAGAGAUGUUUUCGGAACUUCAUACUUCCUAUCCUACCAGCAAGUCUUGAGUACUAGACGGUUUUAAUCGAGUUAAUCUGCCAUCGUUCUAGUACUGCAAUUGUUAUUAAAGGAGAGGGAUUGCAUGUUAUUUAAGCACCUACGAAAAGCUUUGAUCGCCAGAGCUAAUCACAAUUACAAAAACAAUUUAAAUGCCCAACAGAAUUUAAAGAGAAAGCACAUUGCACGCAAUAAAAUUUGAAAGAGAGAAAUGUUCGCAUGCAAUUUUUUUGCAAAAUCUCAUCAAAUUUUAAUAGAAUCGUGAGAGCAGAAAGCUUUGUGCUUUUUUCAGUGACAUUUGGAUAUACACACACAUAUUCAGUCCAUCUGUAUUCAUACCACUUGCAAUGCAACCUGUACUUUCCGACCACCAAUUGGGGUUGUCGAAGCUUUCCGGCAUUCGGACCAACACAGGUCAAUAAUUUCUAAUUUCAUUUAAGUACCAGCCGUGCGCAUGCAACACAGUUAAUUCCGGCCGUCAUGCUAUUGCAGCUGCUGAUUUCCAGUAUGUCGUCAAGCGCUUUGAGCCGGAAGUGGUGUAGCUCUAGAGCGGAAAUGACUAUUUUGAAAAGCGCAAUGCGAUGAGCAGUUGUUGCAGAGACUUCGUUUGAGUCUUCCAAAGGCUAAUCGGAACUUCAACCAAUCUAAAACCCUAGUUAAAUGGACUAUCGAUAUCUUUCAAUGGAAUUGAUAGUCUAAACUUAGCAACUAUAAUUUUGAGGUUAUGAAAAACUGAUAGAGGUAUUAAGAAGAAAAAUGUAUUCUGUGAGCAGCUACGAUCCGUCUGAACUGCGAUUUUCGUGCUUCGAACUUAUAUAAUACCAGAGCUAUAAGUGAAGAGAGUAAAAAAGUAUUCCGACUAGAACAAGAAACCAAAAAAAAAGAAAUCGCUUGAUCGUCUAUAUUUUUAGUUGGCAAUAAGAACAAUUAAAAUUCAUACUAUUUACUUAUAUACUAUGUUGUUAUAUAUUUUUAAACGAUGAACAGUUGAUUUUAAAAGAAGCUUUAUGAAAGUGAAAUAUUUGAGAUAAGUUGUGACGUGAUUUGUCAGUUCGGUAUGCAGCCUUUCCCAACUGGUUGAUUUAUUACUUUAUUUAUUCUUUUAUUUAAUAUUUGCUCAAGUGAGUUUAAACACGUUGACAAAGUGAUUUUUAUGAACCUUGCGUACUUACUGAUUUAUGAGUAUUUGUGUUUGAGUUGCCGAUCCAUUAUUGUAAGAUAAGUGCUGGCUUUAGAAUAUAUGAGGUUCUGUCACACUGAGUUUUUCAAUUUAUUUAUGAAGACAAUUCAAGUUCAUUUUCAUUAUUUAUUUGUUUUGUAAUCAGUCACUUUGGCGUUAU